GCAAGUCGAACGAUAUAUACACUUCGGUGUAUAGAAAGUGGCGAACGGGUGAGUAACACGUAGAUAAUCUGCCUCUGUGUUGGGGAUAGCUCAUGGAAACAUGGGGUAAUACCGAAUACGAUCUUCCUGCUAGCAAGGUGGGGAGAAGAAAGGAGCUACGGCUUCGCACAGAGAUGAGUCUGCGGCUCAUUAGCUAGUUGGUAGGGUAACGGCCUACCAAGGCAGUGAUGAGUAGCCGGCCUGAGAGGGUGACC
rnacentral:rRNA from 1 species